GCAGCAGAGUUAGCAGCUCUGCGCCUCCGUGACCUACCAGCUAGUGAUCAAGUAAGAGGCGACUACAAGAACCGGGCUUUCUGCCUGCUCGACAAAAACGGGGAUGGCAGGAUCAGCAUCGAGGAACUCACCGAGGUGAUGGAAGAUCUAGGUGCCGGGGGCGAAGACGCAACGGAGCUCAUGCAUCUUCUUGACGCAAACAGCGAUGGCUCCUUGAGCUCCGAUGAAUUCGAGUCGUUCCAGCGACAGCUUGAACUAACGAGAGGACUGGAGGACAAGGAUGAUCACUACAGGAAGAUAUUUGUUAGCAGCAGAGGUGGCGUGGAGGAGUAGGAGGAGAACUGGGAUAGAGAGGAAGAAGAGUUCUGGGAUUUAGACGAGAAGCAGGUUAACAGCAUUGCCAUUCUUGUCUGUUACAAAUUGGCUCUCUCCUCUGUAGAAUCGAGAACGAUGAUUAAAGAAGGUGAAUAAAUAUUUUAUAAUAUUUUUAAAAUAAAUGAUUUAUUUAUUGUCUA